AAAAAGACUUUUUUAAAAGUCAUUCAUAUUUAUGUACAGGAAAAC
rfam:Equus caballus chromosome 18, whole genome shotgun sequence.